AUACGGAGGAUCCAAGCGUUAUCCGGAUUUAUUGGGUUUAAAGGGAGCGUAGGCGGACGCUUAAGUCAGUUGUGAAAGUUUGCGGCUCAACCGUAAAAUUGCAGUUGAUACUGGGUGUCUUGAGUACAGUAGAGGCAGGCGGAAUUCGUGGUGUAGCGGUGAAAUGCUUAGAUAUCACGAAGAACUCCGAUUGCGAAGGCAGCCUGCUGGACUGUAACUGACGCUGAUGCUCGAAAGUGUGGGUAUCAAACAGGAUUAGAUACCCUGGUAGUCCACACAGUAAACGAUGAAUACUCGCUGUUUGCGAUAUACAGUAAGCGGCCAAGCGAAAGCGUUAAGUAUUCCACCUGGGGAGUACGCCGGCAACGGUGAAACUUAAAGGAAUUGACGGGG
rnacentral:rRNA from 1 species